GUAGCUCCCCUCUGCUUUCGCCCCCCUCCCCUUUCACUUCUCCUUGCCCCAUACACAGUGCACAACUUCAUCAGCCCCCAGCAUCUUUCUUCAACCUCCUCUGGCGUUUUAAGUUUGCUUUUGCUCUUUCUGCUCUCUCCUCCUCUCUCUCUGUCUGUCUGUCUCUGCUGCUGGGCAAAAAAAAAGGAUCAGCGAUGCUGAACGAGCCGUGCCUUCAGUCAGGUUCCCCUAGCCUGGUUGCUCUCAGUCCCUGCCUGCUGGAUGUCGCGGUCAAACGAAUGCACAGCCUUCGUUAUUAAAGCGUAAAUGGGGAGCAACUUCAGGCCAGUGACAGAGAAUGCCAGUCCCCGCAAUUUGCUGCUCGAAUUUUGUCGCUCCACGCAAACAGAGUGCCACACUGUUACAGCGGAGAGUUGGCUGUGUUUGUGCGGUAGACCCAGACUAGACCGUGACAGAGGCAGCCACAGCAAGUAACUCCUUAUCAUACAAUGAAGAUUGAAAGAGAUCCAUAAAUUUGAAGAGGUC